rnacentral:lncRNA from 1 species
UUAUGUUGUUAUGUUUGAGUUUGUAUUUGUAUUUUUGUGUCAUCGUUUCACUUUUGUUUGUCAUUUGUGAACUUAAUAAACUUACCACAAUGCAAAGUGAUUAUUCAAUGAAAUUAUUAUUGGAACCUCCAGAUGUUGGAGAAAGUGAGAAAGAUAUUCAUUGAAGCUGAAAAUAAUUGGACAUUUAGAUAUUCCACCAAUUACUAUUAUAAUGCUAUUAUAGAUAUUUAUACAUAUCUGGUGGAGUCUCACAGUUACACUACUUUAAACAGCAGAUGAAAGCAUACAAAAGCCUUCAGGCACAUAAGAGCCCUUACAACUGGAUUUGUUUUGUUAACAAAACUGUUAAUGAUUUCUAUAUUAUUGUUGGAAAGGUGAAGCAUUCACAAAAAGUUAACGCUAAACCACUAGAUGCUUGGGUGAUAGCCAGUUCCAAUGGCAUAGCAAAUGCACAUUCCCAAGUAGCGAUUUUACGACCUGCAACCAAUUUUGUCCUAAUGGGACGUUAAAUUUAAGGACAAAAUUGGUUCACAAUAAGCCUUAACCAAGGACAACGUCUGUUUUUCCUAUGGACCAACGUUGCUGCUAAUAAGUAAUAUAAUCUGAUGACCAACCGACAUCGGGAAUAACGACGUCAAUUAUUAGGAUAAGGUUUGACGUUAAGCUGACGUCGGUCUUAACCUAUCUGUAGUAUAAGUGCAAUUAAGUGGCAUACAUCAACGACUACUCAAUGUCGGGAAUUACAACGUAUUUUUUAGGAUAGAUGCCAACGUUCAGAGGACGUUGGUGUUUUAUCGAGUAUGGUAGACGUAUUUUUCGGGAAGACGACAACGACAAUCCGACGUUGAGAAUACCAACGUUAAUUAUUAGGUUAAGGUUUAACGUUAGCUGACGUCGGGUAUAACCUCUAUACCACAAUGUAAUUUACUGGAAGACAUUUAACGACUGCUCAACGUCGGGGAUUACAGAGUAUUUAUUAGUAUCGAACCCAACGUUCAGGAGACGUCGGGUGUUUUCUCAGUAGGUAUAUGGUAGAUUGCUGCGUGUAUUUGCGGGAAGGUGAGAACGACAAUACAACGUAGGUAAUAACAACGUAGUACUUAAGUAAAGUUGUAUAUACGUUAACCUGACGUCAAAGUUUUUUUAUAAGAUACCUGUAAUUUACUAAAAAACGUCGACGACUAUCCAACGUCGUAAAGUAAAUUUUCGACAAUUAUUUGUUUAGUUUCCACCAGAUUAAGGCGUGUUCACGACGACGACCGGUCGUCGGGAGUCUGUCGUCAAGACCAGGUUGUUUGCGCUUACUUUAGGACGUAUUAGGUAUACCAAUAGGUAAAUUCGAGGUGUGCAAGGUAAAAAUAGGUUAUACUAAAGGUCGGCAAGGGGUGUCCUUGUCCAAAUCAGUUAAAAUGUAGUGCAAUUUAGGUCGAGAGUCAAAUGCGCCAUUAAUGAAAGAUCGCCAUGGUUCAGCCAUUUUUUGAAACAUAAUGUUUGGCAAUUUUUUUGCUAGAUUUUAAUGAAUAUUUGAUUUUAAUUAACGAAUUUUGUUUAUAUAUAAAUCAAAGAUAAUUUUGUAUGGGUCUAGACAUAAUAAUAUGUUUUUUUAAUUACGAUGGUUAUUUCUAUUUUUACCGUUUUGUUCGAUUUAACCUGUAAAUUUCUGAGGCACUUUCAGUUUUUAGCAAUUUUUGUACCUAGUUUAAAAAUACACUUCCUUGCGUUUCUAAAUUUUCGACCUCAUUAUGCAAUGAGGCAGAUGGCAGAUGAUUAAUAAAAUAAUUAUACAAGUCACUUAGGUUAUAUUCUGAAUAGAGUAGGAACCUACUUAAAUAAGUAUCAACAGGCCGUCAUGCAUCUUAGUUUCUGAUGAUUUAAUAUCCUCCAAGAUUAUUAACCUAUUUGGUAAAAAUGAAGUGUGUCGGCCGUACUUCUGUGGUAGAGAAUUUUAUACUAUUACUUUACAAGACCAAAGUCCUAAAAACUAACGUAAUUUGACGAUAAAAUAUCUCGAGCUGAGAAGUCGAGAGGGGGACGUCGAGGCAACCCGUAUUUCUAUUCCCCACUUAGGUGCAAAUAGCGGUUUUCUGACCGUCGUCGCUACGUCGCGUAUUAACGUUGGGGCAUUUAUUCCAACGUUAAGACGUCGUAAUAUUACGUCCAAUUGCUUCUUGGGUUGUAUGUGUAUGGCCGGUAAUAGUGAAGUUUGCAGCCAUAUUGCAGCAAUCUUAUUUGCAGCUGAGUAUGCCCACAGCAAGACCGAAGACGAAGAACCCAAUGCAUGUACAGAUGUUACAGUUAUGUACAUGGUUUGGAGAUAGCAACAUAUGCAUUCUCUGAUGAAAAACUAAUAAAUUUUGAAACUGUUCGGUCAGAGUGCUUGUUGCACUCUCUAAACGAACUGAAAUUACAUUUUUAAUUAUGAUGUACUUCUUCAUCAUGAGUAUUUAUGUAUUAGUCUUUUAAGUGUGUAUUAUCAGAUAUCACAAGUAAAUUGUUUUUAUCAUUUUAAUUUAGUCAUUGCAGUUCCUUAAUCAAAAAAUAUAUUUUUCAGGUGUCUGUAGAUCUUCUUGUAUGCAAAAAUAUGUAAUAAUUAUUUGGAAUCAAUUUGAGGAUUAUAAGAGUAUGAAAAUAUAUGUGAGAACACAGACUAUUAUAGUUUUGUUCUAUUUUUUAUCAUUCAAUCGUUUUCCUUAAAAUUUAUAAAUAUAAAGCAGAUAGUUUUCAUUGAAAUUCAAUAUAUUGGGUCUUAUUUGUAUGUAUUCAUUUCUGACUAAAGGUACGAUUCUGACAACGACUGCAGACGUCAACUGCAAACAUCAGUUGCAGUUGUCAGCAUUACGGACGUUACUACUUUGCACUAUUUAUUUGUACGAGACUGAUUCCGACAUCUGACUGCAACUGCUGUCCGGCAGAACGUCAGUUGCUAAUAAUUAUGCAAAUUAAUAGUGCAAAAUAAUGACGUCUGUCAUGGUGACAACUGUAACUGUCAUCUGCAGUCGUUGUCGGAAUCGUACCUUUAAAGUAUGUGGUAUAAAUAUAAUAAUUAUAUAAUAUAUUACAUAACUUUUUUUUAUAAUGCUUUGGCUUAGCCAAUUAGCCAGACUAUUUAUUUUUGUAUGGUAUUACAAUAACAAUUAAUUUAAUCAUCUAAGCCUACUUAUAAUCUAAAUUUACAGUGUGUUAUAAUAUUCAUGGAUACAUUUUACAAUUUUGUGUGAUAUGUUUACAAUUAUUUUUAAUUUUAUUACCUAAGCCUAUUUAAAAUUUAAAUGUACAGGACGUUACAUAUUUGUAAAGACAUUUUAACAUUUGCUGAUUAUUUGAAAAAAUAAAUUCAUUUAAAUUAAUGGGUAAAGGGCAAUUUAGAUCAACUAGCUCUUCAUACAUUAUUUUAAUAUUUUGUCUGUACUGUCCACACUCCAAUAUGAGGUGCUGUAGAUCUCCAAUUCCACCACAGGCGCAAUAUGGGUUAUCACUGAUACCUAUGCUGUGUUUGUAUGCUGGGUUAUAUAUUAUAUUAUAUAACUAUUAUAAAUAUAACUUAAAUGGUUUAAACUGAAGUUUGUUAUUAAAUUGUGAAUUAAUUGUUUAAUUUGUUAAUAAAUAAUUUAUUAGUUUAUA